AUUGAACGCUGGCGGCAGGCCUAACACAUGCAAGUCGAGCGAGCGGCGGACGGGUGAGUAAUGUAUGUGGAUCUGCCCGAUAGAGGGGAAUAACUACUGGAAACGGUAGCUAAUACCGCAUACCAUCGGAUGUGCCCAGAUGGUAUUAGCUAGUAGGUGGGGUAAAGGCUCACCUAGGCGACGAUCCCUAGCUGGUAUGAGAGGAUGACCAGCAACAAUGGAACUGAGAAACGGUCCAGACUCCUACGGGAGGCAGCAGUGGGGAAUAUUGCACAAUGGGCGCAAGCCUGAUGCAGCCAUGCCGCGUGUAUGAAGAAGGCCUUCGGGUUGUAAAGUACUGUCAGCGGGGAGGCGUUACCCGCAGAAGAAGCACCGGCUAACUCCGUGCCAGCCGCCGCGGUAAUUC
rnacentral:rRNA from 1 species